rnacentral:rRNA from 1 species
UUGAACGCUGGCGGCAUGCUUUACACAUGCAAGUCGAACGGUAACAGGCCUUCGGGUGCUGACGAGUGGCGAACGGGUGAGUAAUGCAUCGGAACGUGCCCAGAGGUGGGGGAUAACGCAGCGAAAGCUGUGCUAAUACCGCAUGUGAUCUGAGGAUGAAAGCGGGGGACCAAGCAGCAAUGUUUGGCCUCGCGCCUCUGGAGCGACCGAUGUCAGAUUAGGUAGUUGGUGGGGUAAAGGCCUACCAAGCCGACGAUCUGUAGCUGGUCUGAGAGGACGACCAGCCACCCUGGGACUGAGACACGGCCCAGACUCCUACGGGAGGCAGCAGUGGGGAAUUUUGGACAAUGGGCGCAAGCCUGAUCCAGCAAUGCCGCGUGCGGGAAGAAGGCCUUCGGGUUGUAAACCGCUUUUGUACGGAACGAAAAGGCUCUGGCUAAUACCUGGGGCUGAUGACGGUACCGUAAGAAUAAGCACCGGCUAACUACGUG